GACGAACGCUGGCGGCGUGCUUAACACAUGCAAGUCGAACGGAAAGGCCCUGCUUGCAGGGUACUCGAGUGGCGAACGGGUGAGUAACACGUGGGUGUUCUGCCCUGCACUUCGGGAUAAGCCUGGGAAAAUGGGUGUAAUACCGGAUAGGAGCCAUUUUUAGUGUGAGGGUUGGAAAGUUUUUUCGGUGUAGGGUGAGCUCGCGGCCUAUCAGCUUGUUGGUGGGGUAAGGGCCUACCAAGGAGGCGGCGGGGGGCCGGCCCGGGGGGGUGGACGGCCACAGUGGGGCUGGGAUACGGCCCAGACCCCGACGGGAGGGAGCAGGGGGGAAUAUUGCACAAGGGGCGCGAGCCUGAUGCAGCGACGCCGCGGGGGGGAGGACGGCCUUCGGGUUGGAAACUCCUUUCGCUAGGUACGAAGCUUUUUGUGACGGUACCUAGAUAAGAAGCACCGGCUAACUACGUG
rnacentral:rRNA from 1 species